GACGAACGCUGGCGGCGUGCUUAACACAUGCAAGUCGAACGAUGAAGCCUAGCUUGCUAGGUGGAUUAGUGGCGAACGGGUGAGUAAUACGUGAGUAACCUACCUUUAACUCUGGGAUAAGCCUGGGAAACUGGGCCUAAUACCGGAUACGACCAAUCUCCGCAUGGGGUGUUGGUGGAAAGCGUUAUGUAGUGGUUAUAGAUGGGCUCACGGCCUAUCAGCUUGUUGGUGAGGUAACGGCUCACCAAGGCGACGACGGGUAGCCGGCCUGAGAGGGUGACCGGCCACACUGGGACUGAGACACGGCCCAGACUCCUACGGGAGGCAGCAGUGGGGAAUAUUGCACAAUGGGCGCAAGCCUGAUGCAGCGACGCCGCGUGAGGGAUGACGGCCUUCGGGUUGUAAACCUCUGUUAGCAGGGAAGAAGAGAAAUUGACGGUCC
rnacentral:rRNA from 1 species